rnacentral:rRNA from 1 species
GCUGAAGCCAGUCGAAGAUACCAGCUGGCUGCAACUGUUUAUUAAAAACACAGCACUGUGCAAACACGAAAGUGGACGUAUACGGUGUGACGCCUGCCCGGUGCUGGAAGGUUAAUUGAUGGGGUCAGCCGUAAGGCGAAGCUCCUGAUCGAAGCCCCAGUAAACGGCGGCCGUAACUAUAACGGUCCUAAGGUAGCGAAAUUCCUUGUCGGGUAAGUUCCGACCUGCACGAAUGGCGUAAUGAUGGCCAGGCUGUCUCCACCCGAGACUCAGUGAAAUUGAACUCGCUGUGAAGAUGCAGUGUACCCGCGGCAAGACGGAAAGACCCCGUGAACCUUUACUAUAGCUUGACACUGAACAUUGAGCCUUGAUGUGUAGGAUAGGUGGGAGGCUUUGAAGUGUGGACGCCAGUCUGCAUGGAGCCAACCUUGAAAUACCACCCUUUAACGUUUGAUGUUCUAACCUAGGCCCAUAAACUGGGUCGGGGACCGUGUCUGGUGGGUAGUUUGACUGGGGCGGUCUCCUCCUAAAGAGUAACGGAGGAGCACGAAGGUUGGCUAAGCAUGGUCGGACAUCAUGCGGUUAGUGCAAAGGCAUAAGCCAGCUUGACUGCGAGAGUGACGGCUCGAGCAGGUACGAAAGUAGGUCUUAGUGAUCCGGUGGUUCUGAAUGGAAGGGCCAUCGCUCAACGGAUAAAAGGUACUCCGGGGAUAACAGGCUGAUACCGCCCAAGAGUUCAUAUCGACGGCGGUGUUUGGCACCUCGAUGUCGGCUCAUCACAUCCUGGGGCUGAAGUAGGUCCCAAGGGUAUGGCUGUUCGCCAUUUAAAGUGGUACGCGAGCUGGGUUUAGAACGUCGUGAGACAGUUCGGUCCCUAUCUGCCGUGGGCGUUGGAAGAUUGAGAGGGGUUGCUCCUAGUACGAGAGGACCGGAGUGAACGCACCACUGGUGUUCGGGUUGUCAUGCCAAUGGCAUUGCCCGGUAGCUAAGUGCGGAAGAGAUAACCGCUGAAAGCAUCUAAGCGGGAAACUUGCCUCGAGAUGAGUCUUCCCUGUCGCUUUAAGUGACCUAAAGGAACGUUUAAGACUAAGACGUUGAUAGGCUGGGUGUGUAAGCGUAGCGAUACGUUGAGCUAACCAGUACUAAUGAACCGUGAGGCUUAACCUG